rnacentral:rRNA from 1 species
UACAGAGACUGCAAGCGUUAUUCGGAUUCACUGGGCGUAAAGGGUGCGCAGGCGGUUGGGUGUGUCAGAUGUGAAAUCCCGAGGCUCAACCUCGGAACUGCGUCUGAAACUACUCGACUAGAGUACUGGAGAGGGUAACGGAAUUCACGGUGUAGCAGUGAAAUGCGUAGAUAUCGUGAGGAACACCAGGAGGCGAAAGGCGGUUACCCUGGACAGUUACUGACGCUCAGGCACGAAAGCAUGGGGAGCAAAAGGG